rnacentral:rRNA from 1 species
CGGAGGAAAAGAAACCAACAGGGAUUGCCCUAGUAACGGCGAGUGAAGCGGCAACAGCUCAAAUUUGAAAUCUGGCGUCUUUGGCGUCCGAGUUGUAAUUUGCAGAGGGCGCUUUGGCAUUGGCAGCGGUCCAAGUUCCUUGGAACAGGACGUCACAGAGGGUGAGAAUCCCGUACGUGGUCGCUAGCCUUUACCGUGUAAAGCCCCUUCGACGAGUCGAGUUGUUUGGGAAUGCAGCUCUAAAUGGGAGGUAAAUUUCUUCUAAAGCUAAAUACUGGCCAGAGACCGAUAGCGCACAAGUAGAGUGAUCGAAAGAUGAAAAGCACUUUGGAAAGAGAGUUAAAAAGCACGUGAAAUUGUUGAAAGGGAAGCGCUUGCAGCCAGACUUGCCUGUAGUUGCUCAUCCGGGUUUUUACCCGGUGCACUCUUCUACGGGCAGGCCAGCAUCAGUUUGGGCGGUUGGAUAAAGGUCUCUGUCAUGUACCUCCUCUCGGGGAGAACUUAUAGGGGAGACGACAUGCAACCAGCCCGGACUGAGGUCCGCGCAUCUGCUAGGAUGCUGGCGUAAUGGCUGUAAGCGGCCCGUCUUGAACCA